rnacentral:lncRNA from 1 species
AUGCCAGUGUCCCACUGCCGUGCAGCACCAGUUCAAGUCCUGGCUGCUCCGCUUCUGAUCCAGCACCCUGCUAAUGCCUGGGAAAGCAGCAGAGGACAGCCCAAGUGCUUGGGCCCCUGCCACCCAUGUGGGAGACCCAGAUGCAAUUCCUGGCUCUUAGCUUCGGCAUAUUGUACAGAUAACACAGCCUUGAGCACAAGACCCGCACGCUGCUUGGCGCCAGGGGUCCAGGGGCACGUGAAUCUCUUGCUCCCAUUGUCUGUGGCCCAGGCAGGAGCCCCUCGCCAGAGACCACACAGCGGGGACCAGAGGGGCCUGUGUGAGACUCAGGACCCCCGGGUCCACUUGCUCACCCUGCAGCCCCGACCCGGCCCCCACUGUGGUGUGCUGUGCUGGGCCCUUGCCCCUGAACGUGUGUGUCAGGGUGCCUGCGCCCGUGUGUUUGUUUUCUUUUGUUUUUCAUGCAAAGAAAACAAACCCAAGUCCGCCACAGCCUGCGUUUCAACAUCGCUGAGAGCUGUGGAAGCCGGUAAUUCCCCAGGACAGGAAGGAUUUCCGGUUGGACUUAAUGCCCACGUUCAGAGGCAGCUGGCUGUCCAGGGCAGAGUGCACCAGAGCGGGCCUAGGGGCCCCAGGAGGAUGGCCCCACUCUGGGCCCAAGCUGAGGUGCCCCUGGCGGGGCAAGAGCUCACCUCGGGUCACCGGGGACAGGUGGCUGAGCCAGGAGCUGAAUCCCUGGUCCCAGGCUCCCGCACCCUCAGACCUCCCCGCUCUGUGCCAGGGGUGCCCGUCAUUCCCCCAGCAGACCGAGGGCACCCAGCCCCUCCUGAGGCCAGGCUCAGUGCCCUGGCCAGGCCUGGCCCCACCAUGAGUCGCCCUGACCCUGGGUGGGGGGCGUCCCAAUGCCACCCUUGCAGCUGCUGCCUGGCCAGGGCGCCUGCCUGCCUCCCGCAGUGUCUGGGGGCCGGGGAGAAGGAGCCAGGAGGAGUUGAGAGGCGGGGAGGGGCAGGGUGCCAGGAUGGGGUGGCCUCCCCACCCCUCCAGAGUCAGGCGUCUGGCUGCUCCCCCAGAGCUCUGGGCUGA